rnacentral:rRNA from 1 species
AACGAACGCUGGCGGCAGGCCUAACACAUGCAAGUCGAACGCACCGCAAGGUGAGUGGCGCACGGGUGAGUAACACGUGGGAAUGUAUCCUUUGGUUCGGAAUAACGUCUGGAAACGGACGCUAAUACCGGAUGAGCCCUUAGGGGGAAAGAUUUAACGCCAAAGGAGCAGCCCGCGUCUGAUUAGGUAGUUGGUGGGGUAAAGGCCUACCAAGCCGACGAUCAGUAGCUGGUCUGAGAGGAUGAUCAGCCACACUGGGACUGAGACACGGCCCAGACGCCUACGGGAGGCAGCAGUGGGGAAUAUUGGACAAUGGGCGCAAGCCUGAUCCAGCCAUGCCGCGUGAGUGAUGAAGGCCUUCGGGUUGUAAAGCUCUUUCGCACACGACGAUGAUGACGGUAGUGUGAGAAGAAGCCCCGGCUAACUUCGUGCCAGCAGCCGCGGUAACAC